rnacentral:rRNA from 1 species
AGACGUAGGGGGCGAGCGUUGUCCGGAAUUACUGGGCGUAAAGAGCACGUAGGCGGAUAUUUAAGUCAGGUGUGAAAGACCGUGGCUCAACCACGGGGUUGCACUUGAAACUGGGUAUCUUGAGGGCAGGAGAGGGCAGUAGAAUUCCUGGUGUAGCGGUGAAAUGCGUAGAAAUCAGGAGGAAUACCAGUGGCGAAGGCGACUGCCUGGACUGACCCUGACGCUGAGGUGCGAAAGCGUGGGUAGCAAACAGGAUUAGAUACCCUGGUAGUCCACGCCGUAAACGAUGGACACUAGGUGUAGGAGGUAUCGACCCCUUCUGUGCCGCAGCUAACGCAAUAAGUGUCCCGCCUGGGGAGUACGGUCGCAAGGCUGAA